UUUAGUUUCUUAAAAACAAAAUGCAAAUACCAAAAAUAAAUAUUACAUAUUAUACCAAUUUAAUAUUUUGAUGUAGUGGUUAAUAUAUAAUUAGUUAUUAGUUAACGUUACACUAAACAGAUGUACUUGAUCAAAUAUAAUAUGCUUACUUUUGAUUUAAUUUAUAUUUCUUUUGCUUUCAGUAAAAGCGCAAGUGUGUGGUUAUUUUAGCAGUAGAAGUUUUUUAUUAGCUGAUCGACACCGUCGGCCAACAUGGUUUAUCACGGCAAACAAGUUAAGUUAUCUGCAGUUGAGCAUUUGGUCUGUUAAUCAGUAUAUUUAUAUAGACUUACAAUCAAUGCGACCAUCAACGAGUAAAAAAAAGCCAACAUUUUUUAAAUUUGGAAAAUCUAUUGGUCAUGUUAUUGUUGUUAUGAUGAUACGUUGUGCAAAAUAUGCCAAGUACAUACAUUAUCGAUAAUCAUGGAGGUGCUGUGUACACAAAUCAUCCAUGAGCACAAGGCCACGGAUGACUUCACUGUGGAUACAGACGAUACAGUAUAUUAUUAUCUCAAUCAAUCAUUUGCCAAUUUAUUCAAAACAUCAGCUGGGAUAAUGUUAACGAAAAUCAGUUUUGUAAGAAUACUUUUAAAAAUUAUUCUGAGUAGUUAAGUGUGGGAAAUAAAAUGUAUUAUAAUAUUUAAAAUACUAAUCAAAUAAUAAUGCAACGUAUAAUUUUAAAUUUAAAUAUAAGUUUUGGUUUAGAUACACUUUGAAAAAUAUUACAAUACAAACGGUCACAACAUUAUUUUUAAUUUAGGUAUACCUAUUUGCGUUUAUUACAGUUUGAUUGUAUAUUAUAAUUUAUUAUUAUUAUUUGUUAAUGAAUAUUUUUACCACUCUAUUUGUAGUACCCAUAAACUCGUAUUGUUAUCUUCAAAAAUGAAAAUAGCAUCACCGUAUGUAUUUUUUUUAUUAUAUUUGAUAUAUUUAGGUAAUUUACAUCUAAAUUUGUUGGUUUCUCUCCAUCAUGUCUGUAUAAUGUAACAAUAAAAAAAGAUAGCGGCUCGUUAUGAGUCACUGUGUAUCGUUUGAAUUACGUGCGUAAAAAUACUUUUUUCAUAAGCCACGUUGUUAUAAUAUAAUAUAUAGUGUAAGAUAAAAACAUUUUAUGCUUUGGUUACUACAGAAUACAAUUUAUUUACCCGUUUUUUAGUUUCACUUAUGCGAGUCUAUUCGUGAAAAUAUAUAUUACGUAUUAUUUUAUGUUUAAGUUAAAGUUCGUUGAAAAAAGUUUAUUCCAACACUCAUAUAGAAAAAUACGACGUUGUAAAAACCUAAAUGGAAAUCCAUUUUAGAUGGU